rnacentral:misc_RNA from 1 species
GUUGAGUUGAGUUUAAGUUUGGCAGUGUGAAUUGGCCUGUUUUUGGAUGCUAUAAACUUCUAUUACAACAUUGUACUUGCUUCCAUCUCUACUAAACAUGUAUGGUCUGCUAAUGAAAAAUGAAAUGUUUAUUUCACAAAAAUUUUGGUUCAUGUUAGGACAUGAGAUGUUCAGUUGACUGAUUCACUUUAAUUUUAUGCUUUUGUUUCUAUUUUUUAAGAUCAAUUGAUUUCCUUUAUACUACAUCUUACAAUUGUUUUUUAUGAUUUGUUCUCAGCACCUCCUCUGAAAUUGAUAG